AUACAGAGGGUGCAAGCGUUAAUCGGAAUUACUGGGCGUAAAGCGCGCGUAGGCGGUUUGUUAAGUUGGAUGUGAAAGCCCCGGGCUUAACCUGGGAACGGCAUUCGAAACUGGUAGGCUAGAGUAUGAUAGAGGAAAGUGGAAUUCCAGGUGUAGCGGUGAAAUGCAUAGAUAUCUGGAGGAACAUCAGUGGCGAAGGCGGCUUUCUGGAUCAAUACUGACGCUGAGGUGCGAAAGCGUGGGGAGCAAACAGGAUUAGAAACCCCAGUAGUCC
rnacentral:rRNA from 1 species